rnacentral:lncRNA from 1 species
GCAAGUAGAGAAUUUAAAGCAGAAGUGAAUCAUUUUGAACAUCAAAGAACAUGGCCCAAGACAUGUGACAACCAGAAAACAUGCCUUAAAUGAAAAAAAUAUUUAAUGAAUCAUUGAAAUUAUAAAAAGACAAAAAGACACUUAUUUAGAAAAAAAAACAAAAACUCUUAAAACAACAAAUGAAAAAACAGAAUGAGUAAUUUUAGUUUAUGGAUGUUUCUUCAGCUAAUGGCUCACCGCCUUCGCUGGAUUUCGCUCGACCUGUAGAACCGUGGUUGACCCGGAUGGUAAAGAUCUGUGUGGUUUUAUCCUUCUCUGGGGAGGAUCUGGUGGUUUACAUGUGUUUCAAGCUGGAUUUUCUCUUCUUCUGGUUUGUGUAGUUGCAGUGCGAUCUCCUUGGACUUCACUUGGUUUUUCAAGGCUUUUUGGCUGCGGUAGAGGGGAUCUACUAAGACCUAGGUUUCUAGGCUUUUCCGACAGUCAGUACAACCAGAAAGGGGAAUGACGCAACAAGGGUUUCCUCCACCGGAUCUGGGUCUCCGGGUCAGAUGUUUCUGGGUCUCUAGGUUUUCUAUUAUGGGCCUAUUUUAUUGUUUUCUUACUCUUAGACCUAGAGGCCUGUAUUCUUAUUUACGUGGACCUUGUGUCUUUGUAGUACCUGAUUCUAUCAAUGAAAUCUUUUACCUUUUCGGAAAAAAAAAAAAAAAACUGAAUUAGUAAUUUUAAAAACAUAAUAUUAAAAAUAAGUUUAUUGAAC